rnacentral:rRNA from 1 species
UCACCUUUCCUUGUCAUUUCCGCCUAUAUACCGCCGUCGCAAGCUUACCCUGUGAAGGUCCCCUAGUAAGCACAAUUGGUACAACCCAAAACGUAAGGUCGAGGUGUAGCGUAUGGAGAGGGAAGAAAUGGGCUACAUUCCCUAUUACAGUGAAUCACGGAUAAUAUUACUGAAACGUGUAUCAAGAAGGAGGAUUUAGCAGUAAGCGGAAAGCAGAGCGUCCCGCUGAAACCGGCCCUGAAGCGCGCACACACCGCCCGUCACUCUCUCCAAGCAUUUCUUUUUAAUUUAACUUAAAACAUUACACAAGCAAAGGGGAGGCAAGUCGUAACAUGGUAAGUGUACCGGAAGGUGCACUUGGCAAAAC